rnacentral:lncRNA from 1 species
UGACUGUCAGGCCACCUUAAGCCACAGUACGGAAGAAGCUGUGCUGCCUGUGAGCCCCGUCCAAGGACGUUAAAAGAAGAAGUCAGGCCCCAAAGCCACGGUUUGAGCAAACCGUGCUGCCUGUAGCUCCGUCGUGGGGACGUAAAAACCUGGGAGGCUGCAAACUGUGGAAGCUGUACGCACAGUGUAGCAGACUAGUGGUUAGAGGAGACCCCUCCCAUGACACAACGCAGCAGCGGGGCCCGAGCACUGAGGGAAGCUGUACCUCCUUGCAAAGGACUAGAGGUUAGAGGAGACCCCCCGCAAACAAAAACAGCAUAU